AAUUCGAAGCAACGCGAAGAACCUUACCAGGUCUUGACAUCCCCUGACAACCCAAGAGAUUGGGCGUUCCCCUUCGGGGGACAGGGUGACAGGUGGUGCAUGGUUGUCGUCAGCUCGUGUCGUGAGAUGUUGGGUUAAGUCCCGCAACGAGCGCAACCCUCGCCUCUAGUUGCCAGCAUUCGGUUGGGCACUCUAGAGGGACUGCCGGCGACAAGUCGGAGGAAGGUGGGAUGACGUCAAAUCAUCAUGCCCCUUAUGACCUGGGCUACACACGUGCUACAAUGGGCGGUACAAAGGGCUGCGAACCCGCGAGGGGGAGCGAAUCCCAAAAAGCCGCUCUCAGUUCGGAUUGCAGGCUGCAACUCGCCUGCAUGAAGCCGGAAUCGCUAGUAAUCGCGGAUCAGCAUGCCGCGGUGAAUACGUUCCCGGGCCUU
rnacentral:rRNA from 1 species